GGGAGGAGAGCAGGCUUCCAGCUAGAACUCAGGGUGUGCUAUGCCCACGCAGGUGGAUAUGCUGCCACCUGGCUGGGCCCAGGAUCCAUUCCAUGGAGAACCUAGAACCCUGGCAGCUCCCGUAGUCUUUACCACUUUGCCACUCCCCGGUGAUACUGCAGGAGGAAAGAGGAACAGAUCUCCAAGCCAACCUGAACAGAGGGAGGGGCAGCACAAGCAGGGGUAGGGGAAGCCAUGGUUUGGUUGUCUUUCCCCUCCUCCAGCCUUUGUUCCCACUGAUCCCUGUCCGGCCUUUCUCACUGUCCUCUUCUUCCAAAUCCUUCCCACCUUCCCAUCCCUCAUCCUGCCAACUCCAGAUGUCCCCUGAGCUACCUCACCUGGGAGGGUGGAGCUGGGUGGAGCAUUGAGCGCCAGGCAAUGCUGGGAUCGAACCUAGGACCUUGGGCAUGCUGGACAGUGCUCCACCACCGAGCUAUACCCCCAGCCCUAAUGAUAAUUCCCCUAUGCAAUCCUCAUCAGCUUCUCUUUUUCUGUGUCUACAUUAUCUAACAGUGGAAUUGAGACAUCUGCCGUUAUUAAGCAACACAGCAUAAAGUUGAGAGGGUCAGGAGGUGAGGCUUGGCCCGGCUUUAUUUUGGCCUGAUCAAGGGAAAGUGAACAAAACAACCAAAAUGGAACCCGGGGAAAGAGCCGACAGCACAAGGAGGAAGAAAAUUGUUCUGAAGGUUCAGAUGAAAAGCCUAUUUUUUUUCGGACGUGACUUUUCUAUAACAGAAUAAAACUCUCCAAGUCAUCUGAUUGGCAUUCUCAAGAACAAACAGACCAGGAAGCUUUGAUGUGGUGAUUAUUUGCUGGGCACUUCCCAAGUGGGCAAGAGAUAUGAAUAGGCUGUUCAUAGAAAUGGAAAUGCAAAUGGCUCUCCAACAUGUAAGAGGAUGCGAGGUCUCACCCAUAAGAGAAAUGCAAACCACAGCUACAGUGAGGCAUGAUUUUUCACCUAUCAGAUUGGCAAAAAUCCUAGAGUUUAAUAUCAAGGGUUGCGAGACCAUCGGGAUUUUACCUUGAGGUGCUCACCCCUCCCUCACUUUUGGCGAUGGCAUUCACAGAGAUUUCCUCUCUGGAGCUCCCAGGGUGGCCCUGACAGGCUUAAGCCUGCUAAAUUUCUCAUCACGGUGUGUGUGUGUGUAAGGGGAUGAUCAGUAGAUAUUAUGGGGUGACCUUGGAGCAAACCACUUAAGCACUUGGAGCUUUAUUUUCCUCAUCUGAGAAGCAGACAGUAAUAGAGACUCGGGAAAAGCAGCCAGGGCAGCAAUAAGUGGCGCUUUUUAUUGACUUUGGUAAUUGGAUACAUACGAGUUUAAAUACAUGUGCUUGACUAAUCUGAAGAUUUAGAUAAUUACAAACUUGAUUUCCACUUUCUAAAUCAUUCUAGAAGAUAAUAAACAGGAAAAACCUAGAAUGUGUAGCAAAGAACAAAAAAGCAAAGCAAUAAGGAAGCAAGAAAUUUAAAAAAUAGAAAAGUAAAAUGAGACUACAUUAGUUAUGAAAUAGAUAUAAAUAAAUUAAGCUAUGUUAUUGAAAGCAAAGAUUCUCAUUCUCAUGUUUAAAAACAAAAUCCAACUACACGAUAUGUUGCUUAGGAGAAAUAACACACUGGGGAGUCUGAGGCAGGAGGCCUGCAAGUUCUGCGCCACACUGGGUCACUUGGCAAGACUCUGUCUCAAAAUAGAAAGAAAGACAGACAGACUUAAUAUAAAAUAUCCAAAUAUAUUAAAAAAUAUACAUGUUAAAUGGAGACAAAAUAUAGGAAAGAUAUCUUGGAGUAGAAAAAGCUCUUCUAACUAUGGCUCAAAAUUUAGAAGCCAUUUAAAAAAUGGAAAAGCUGAACCUCAGAAAAUAAAAACUUCUGCAUUAUAAA